AAGCGGGGUGCAAGUCGCAAUGAGUGCAACCACACGCGCUUGGCGCUCGAACGUGGAACCUCAGGUACGUCUGCUCUAGAGUUACCGUCUGCUCGAGGCAUUUCAGAAGCGACGCGCCGACGAGCGCGCCACCCAGCGUUGUCAUGAAAUUGGCGCUCAGUGGCCGUCCGUCGCGACUCGCGCUCCUACGAGUACGCGCACUUCUCGCGCUCCGCGAUUCCCGCCAUUUUAUGAACUUUGACGUUCUGCAGUUGUACCCACGGUGGUUGUACCUUUCGAGAUGGCAGGUGUAGUGUGUUUAGCCAUCUUAGAAACAGGCGAGCGUAAAAAGCUCGUGCUGCCGACAGGAGCCUAUGCAGAACUUCUGGCGGCUUUGGCGCCAUUUGUGCCCGUCAACGAGAACACACUGCUCCAGGUCCACGACGACGAUCUGGAUGACUUUAUUGACCUGGAGGCAGAUGUCAUAAUUUCCUCCAAGGCGAAGAUAAAGGUGGCAAGAAAAACAGUGCCUCAUACAGAUGAAAGCAUGAUUGCUAUGCAGUGCACGAGCCCCGAC
rnacentral:lncRNA from 1 species